UACGUAGGUGGCAAGCGUUGUCCGGAUUUACUGGGCGUAAAGAGCGCGCAGGCGGUCGGAUCAGUCGAAUGUGAAAGCCCCCGGCUCAACUGGGGAGGGUCAUUCGAUACUGUCCGACUCGAAGGCAGGAGAGGGAAGCGGAAUUCCCGGUGUAGUGGUGAAAUGCGUAGAUAUCAGGAGGAACACCGGUGGCGAAAGCGCUACAUCUGGCCCGAUACUGACGCUGAAGCACGAAAGCUAGGGGAGCAAACGGG
rnacentral:rRNA from 1 species